rnacentral:misc_RNA from 1 species
GUAACGGCCAAGGACUGGGACUCAGUCCCACAUCGAGAGGCUAUGGGAUUUAUAUGGGAUAUAUAAUAAGUAAUAACCUUAGCUAUAACUACUAAAUAAUUUAGGUUAACAUUUUUGGACUAGUAACUUAGGGCCUGAAAGUUAUUUGGGUCAGUUCAGCUGGGAUAUUACAAAUGGUAUCAAAGCCACCUAGGUCAGAAAAUUGAGCGGAGCUAGUGAGCUUUGAGGAGAGGGCUACCCGUAGCAAGAGAUGAGGUAAAGCCACACGAAACACUAGCAAACCACAAUAUUCAAGGGUCCGGUCCUGGCUUAGCAAUUAUACCCGGAAAUUAACAUAGCAUCGGCAUCGAUUGCAACAAGGACAUCCCAAAAUUCAAGGGGAGAGAUUGUA